GGUCACGAGUACUAACAGCUCCCUUCUCCCUUCCUGCAGCCUCGUCCUCGCACAGACACCCCUUUGGAGGGGCUCCCAAGUUUGCAGGCAGACAACACCUCAGGAGAGGAUUCAAGGAGCAAGGGUUUUAUGCCCAGAAACAUCCCACUUCAUCUCUUCAUGCACUUCCAUAGCAAAAGACAAAUGUGGAUGAGUAAAAACGGCCACGCAGAGGAAGAAUAAUGUCCGAAUAGACUACAAGAUAAAGGGAGCCCAAGAUGCUCUGCAGAAUCCAUCGGAAGCACCAAACGGAGCCACGAGACAGUAGCAGCCGACAAAACCCACCUGUAGAAACUGUGUUGGGACCUUCAUUAAUCAUCUAUCAGAGGUGCCAAAUAAGUACACAGUCAAGCACAACCGCUUCCACAAACAGGACUGUCGGGAACAGGCAGGGGACACCGCACCUACUCUGAGCGGUGCCCAGGAUGGAGUGGUUUUCUAAUCACAGACUAUGACGGUAAAUGAAGUUUUUUGUACCUCUAAAGUCUCACUCUGCUUCGCCUGGAAACAGCAUCUGAGGAAAGUUCACCUAAGCUAUCUUGGAACCCAUGGAGUUCCUGGAGCCGGCAAUCAGAUCCGAGGCCAAUCUGUGCAGGGAAUUCCAUCACUGAACUCUGCUUUGCAGAAAACCACUGGCAGCUGGGACUUAUACCUACGAUAAGUUCCCGUGAAGGCCUGAUCUCCCAUCAUGAUAAUGACUCCUCCUAGAUAACAGACACUCUCAUUCUGGAAAGUCGCACCCGUGCCAAAGCUGAAAUUCCUUACCACCCAUGAUUCGCCACAAUUCGCCAGUCUCCCAUUUCAUCGCAAGGCCUUUGCUUCCCUUUCUCAUCUUUUCCAAUAAACCUCCCACUCUAAUUCUCUCAUUUUCCUUCCCUGACUCUCCAACUUCUCAUUAUUCUUUACUAUCAUGAUAUUGCCAUCUUUUUAUUCCAUUGUUCUGUCCAACGCAUGCCUUUGAGGGUCGCCGAUACCAACCCACGGAGCAUAUGAAAAUAUCAAACUACUUCAUAAAUCAUCUUGAGAAGAAAUCUUAUACUGGCUAUUAAAACUAUAUUUGUGGGAGUUCCCAUUGGGGCUCAGCGGAAACAAAUCUGACUGGUAUCCAUGAGGACACAAGUUUGAUCCCUGGCCUCUAACUUAAGGAUGAGGGCAUUGCCGUGAGCUGUGGUGUAAGUCAUAGACACGACUGGCAUUGCUAUGGCUGUGGUGUAGGACAGCACCUGCAGCUCUGAUUUGACCCCUAGCCUGGGAAUCUCCACAUGCCACAGGUGUGGCCCUAAAAAGACAAAAAAAAAAUUAUAUUUGUGUAUCUACAGAAUAUAUAAUUUCCUCUACCAUAUAUAUAUAAGUAUGCGAUGUGAUACACCAGCAGCUUCUUUCUUGACAGAGAAGGAAACUAAGGAUCAGAGUAGUAAAAUGUAAAAUAAUGUGUCUUGGAGUUCCCAUCAUGGCACAGCGGAAACGAACCCGACUAGGAACCAUGAGGUUGAGGGUUCGAUCCCUGGCCUUGAUCAGUGGGUUAACAUCUGGUGUUGCCAUGAGCUGUGAUGUAGGUUGUAGAUGCGGCUUGGAUCUGGCGUGGCUGUGGUGUAGGCCAGCAGCAACAGCUCUGAUUAGACCCCUAGCCUGAGGACCUCCAUAUGCUGUGGGUGUGGCCCGAAAAAGACGAAAAAGACAAAAAAUAAAAAAUAAAAUAAUGUGCCUAAAUGAUCAUACAGGAAAUAGCAAAGCCAGAAUUUGUUUCUGAAAUGUCCUAUGCCGUCUCUAUCAUAGCAAAGUGUCCUGUAGAUGAUUGUGCUGAACAGCAAAACUAAAAACUGCCUCUCUGUCAACCACCAAACACACUCACCUGCAGGACAAGCUACAUAACUUUCAAGGCUUAGUGCUAAACAAAUGGAGGGCCCUUACCCGAAAAUGCAGAAUUACAAGGCAGCACCAUCUGAGCCUCGAAUGAAGUUCAAGGACCUUUUAAGCAAGUGGCCCUGCGCCCACAUUAUCUACUUGGGAAUCCGCUCUUUUCCUCCUGUGGGAUGUCACUCGGCCACGCACGCUUCACCUCCCCUCAGAGGUGUUCCGUGUCCUGAUGUCAGUGUGUGGUGUGCACGAACUUUCUACAUCUCCUCCUAUUCGGUUCAGCACACAGCUCUGCUAACUGGAUCUGGUUUCCUAUCUUGUUUGCCUCAGGAUUCCCCAUACAUUUUCCCUCUUUCUUCAAAUAACCAAGUAUCCGAGGGGCCCCCAGCACCUCAAGGAAGUAAAUGCAUCACCUUUGCUGUAUUUUAUGUAAGUGAACUAGGCCUGUCCAGCUCUGGGGCUGCUCUACAAGCUCUACUCUGUGCACAUGGAUCCACAUACGACUGCAUUAAAAUGCAAACAGCGGUUUAUCCCAAAUUCCUGGUAAUUCUAUGGAGCAUAUCUUUCAAUCACUUAACUCUAGAUUUAAUAAUAGCUUUUGGGGGGAAGAAAACACUUUAUUUUUUGGUUUCGGGAAUGAGUAAUUGUAUACUUUUUAAUCAUAUGAUUAUCUACUAUUUUUACCUUUUACCAUAACAGUAAAAGUUUAAAAUUAAGACAUUUUAACAGUUUAGAACCUAAGCAUUCCAGUGACUCACCAUGUGGCUCAGUGAUUUUGCACUGCAUAAUUUGGCAAGCAGCUUUUCAUUAAAGUGCACGCAUGCUAUUGGAAUAGUUUAGCUGCUUUAGAAUUGACUAUGUAAUUGUGAGGCAUAAAAAUACAAACAGGGUUUUUCCUACCUGGCUAAAUUUAUAGUCCCAGGCUUUUAUUCUUCAAUUAAUUUACAUUGCUGCAAUUUAUAAAUCUAUCAAUAAAUAGCAUCAUUUUCUCUGCCUGAGUUCUGACUCAAGAUAACAGCAAAAAAUUAAUGCAACACAAAAUAACCCCUUGGCCAGGCUGGAGCACGUGACAUAGCAUUCGGAUAAAGUGACCCUCCCGAGUCCUAGAUUCGUGCAGACGGCUGACACAUCUCCGGGGGAGGCCCGUCAUGGAGUGCCAGUUAUCUAAUGCUCUGUCAGAGUAUUAUCCCAAAACUUUGUAAAGUGAAACAAUCAAUUAGUAUGGACACAGGAGACAGGUUUCGGUUCUUUUAAUUCCAUAGAUCUAUCCUAUCCAUCCAGGGUUGCAGCCUAUACUCCCAUCACCUGGGAAAUGAGAUUAACAUCAGUUUCUUGCAAAGUCUUGUACCAACACUGUACCUAGUUCUCUAACGGCAAUCACUUUUUCUUUGGGAAUACUCGAGGGAUUAAUGAUGGACAGAUCAAAUUUUCCACUGGAAGUCUCUGAAAUAAGUCAGCAUAGAGGUUUGUUUUUUUUGUUUUUUUUUUUUAAGAAAAGACAAAAAUUGCAGCAACUCUAUUUUAUUACUUAUCCACAUUUUGAUAUUCCCUAUAGUUAAAUAUAAGCUAGCAUACAUUUUGCAAAGAGAUCAAAUGGCAAGAUAAAAUUUCUUCAAUAAUAAAGAAGCGCUUGAUAGAGAUGGUCAGAAUUUACAUAUAAGCCCUAUACUACACAGCUACCAUAAUCAAAACAGUAUGAUACCGGCACAAAAACAGAAACAGAUCAAGGAAACAUGAUAGAAGGCCCAGAAAUAAGCCUACACACCUAUGGUCAGUUAAUCUGUGACAAGAGAGGCAAGACUAUACAAUGGAGAAAAGAGAGUCUCUUUUCAGUAAGCGACAGGGAAAAUUAGACAGUUACAUGUAAAAGGAUGAAAUUAGAAUAUUCUCUAACACCAUACACAAAAAUAAACUCAAAAUGUACUAAAGACAUACAUAAAGAUGGAUACCAUAAAACUCUUAGAGGAAAAAUAGGCAGAACACUCUUUGACAUAAAUGGCAGCAGUAUCUUUGGGGAUCCACCUCCUAGAAAAAUGAAAAUAAAAACAAAAAUAAACAAAUGGGACCUAAUUAAACUUAAAAGCUUUUUCACAGCAAAGGAAACCAUUAAUAAAAUGAAAAGAUGAGCUACAGAAUGGGAGAAAAUAUUUGCAUGUGAUGUGACUGACAAUGGAUUAAUAUCCAAAAUACACAAACAGCUCAUAUAGCUCAAUGUCAGAAUAAACAAACAACCCAACUUUAAAAAAUGGGCAGAAAAUCUAAAUAGACAUUUCUCCAAAAAUAGACAGAUGGCCAAAAAAGCACAUGAAAAGAUACUCAACAUUACUAAUUAUCAGAGAGAUGCAAACCAAAACUACAAUGUGAUAUAAUCUCAGACCAGCUAGAAUGGUCAUCAUCAAAAAGUCUACAAAUAAUAAAUGCUAGGAAGGGUGUGGUACAAAAGGAACUCUUCUGCACUGUUGUUGGGAAUGUAAUUUGGCACAGCCACUAUGGAGAACAGUAUGUGGAUUACAUAAAAACUGAAUAUAGGACUACCACUAGUAUAUAUGUGACCCAGCAAUCCCACUCCUGGGCAUCUAUCUGGAGAGAACCCUAACUCAAAAAGAUACAUGGACCCCAAUGUUCACUGCACCACUAUUCAUAAUAGUCAAGGCAUGGAAGCAACUAAAUGUCCAUCAAGAAAUGAAGGGAUAAAGAAGAUGCAGUACACAUAUGUGAUGGAAUAUUACUCAGCCAUAAAAAAGAAUGAAAUAACACCAUUUGCAGCAACAUGGAUGGACCUAGAGCUUAUCAUACUAAGUGAAGUCAAGGACAAAUGUACAUCACUUAAUAUGUGAAAUCUAAUGAAACGAUACAAAUGAGUUAUUUAUAAAGUGGAAACAAAUUCACAGACAUAGAAAAACCAAAGUGGACAGGUCUGAGGGAGGGAUAAAUCAGGAAUUUGGGAGUAACAUAUACACAUUACUGUAUAUAAAAUAAGCAAGGACCUGCUGAAUAGCACAGGGAACUAUACUCAGUAUUUUAUAACAACAUACAUGGGUAAAGAAUCUGAAAAAGAUCACACACACACACACAUAUGUAUCAGUGAAUCACUUUGCUGUAUACCUAAAACUAACACAACAUUGUCAAUCAACUAUACAUCAAUUUUAAAAAAGCUUUUUUAUUAAAAAGUCUCCUAUAAGCUUACUCCCAUCAUCGAAUUCCCUUCUCUCUAACACUCACAACCUUGUCUGAGCCCUUACUCUCUCCUAGAGGCAGAGAAAGAAAAAGUCACAAAUCAGACGUCUUUAUAUGGUGGAGGCUAAAAUAAUUAGCAACAUCAAAAUCUCUUUCACCCAUGGGUUAAACGUCCAAGGAAAUAAAAGCCAGAAAUAUCCUCUUCCAUUUCACACUGGAUUCUGUCUUAGCCAGAAGAUUCUCAAAUGUUUGUGUGGGCUCGUUAGGCUCUCACUGGAAUAAGAUUUAUUAUGAAAGUUUUAUGGCCUCACAAAUUGAAUUAAUUUCAUGUCAUGUUUCUGAUGUACCUCACUUCUAAAGAACACUUAAAAUGACAGCAUUUGCAAAAUUAAUAUAGAAUUAGUCCCAUAUUCGACCAAUUUAAAAGCGAGCCAACUCUUUUCCCAAAAGCAGUUCCUCAGGCUAAAACGCGAUCCUAUGACCGGGAUCUAGUGCUGCCAAAGCCCAGGGGAGAAACGCGGCGGUUUCUGAGAGCAAGAGGCUUAGGAGCAUCAGGCAGCAGCCCAGUCCGCGCGCCACGAUGGUUUCCCACGACGAUGCUCGCGAAGGCCAAUGUGAGUGGGAGAAAGAGCCUAGCGGGAUUUUAAUUUUGCCAAAACGCAGUAACCAUCUCUGGGAGGAAAACACCUAAUGUGACAUAAUGUCUUCUAAGUGCCUCAGUGUUGCUGACUUCUUGCAAAGCUUAAAAAUAUAAAAUAAUAGCAGCCCUUGUCACCAGGUCUUAUUAGAUAAGUGAAAAACAAAAACAAAACAAAACAAAAAAAUGCAGUUCCUGUGUCACUACACAACUUGAAAAGGUUUAUACAGAUGGACUCUAAGAGUGAUUUUUAGGUGCUUAGUGUGGGAAUCGCUAUGUCACAUGCAAGGGCUGCUGAUUCACAGAUGGAGAGCCAAGUUAUGACCACAGGAGAGACUGUCUCCAUGAACCGCCUACACACAUACUUCCAGUAAAUAAUGUAAUUGUUUAUUUUCCUUGUUGUGUGUCUGUUCAGAUUAGAUUUAUUGGCGCACAUAUAUAUUUUUGAUUUGUUGAACAGAAUCAAAAUAUUGAGUCUUGUAUCUUAUAUGAAUUGUCAUUCAAUUUUUUAAAAAUAGUUUAAUGUGUGUAUUUUA
rnacentral:lncRNA from 1 species